UGGGGAAUUUUGGACAAUGGGGGCAACCCUGAUCCAGCAAUGCCGCGUGUGUGAAGAAGGCCUUCGGGUUGUAAAGCACUUUUGUCCGGAAAGAAAUCCUCUGGGUUAAUACCUCGGGGGGAUGACGGUACCGGAAGAAUAAGCACCGGCUAACUACGUGCCAGCAGCCGCGGUAAUACGUAGGGUGCGAGCGUUAAUCGGAAUUACUGGGCGUAAAGCGUGCGCAGGCGGUUUGCUAAGACCGAUGUGAAAUCCCCGGGCUUAACCUGGGAACUGCAUUGGUGACUGGCAGGCUAGAGUGUGGCAGAGGGGGGUAGAAUUCCACGUGUAGCAGUGAAAUGCGUAGAGAUGUGGAGGAAUACCGAUGGCGAAGGCAGCCCCCUGGGCUAACACUGACGCUCAUGCACGAAAGCGUGGGGAGCAAACA
rnacentral:rRNA from 1 species